AACUCUCGGCAACGGAUAUCUCAGCUCUCGAAUAGAGGAAGAAUAUAGCAAAAUUCGAUACUUGGUGUAAAUUGCAGAAUCUCGUGAACUAUUAAGUCUUUAAACGUAAGUUACGCCCGAAGCAAUAAGGCUGAGGGCACAUUUUCCUGGGUAUCA
rnacentral:rRNA from 1 species